rnacentral:rRNA from 1 species
GACGAACGCUGGCGGCGUGCUUAACACAUGCAAGUCGAGCGGUAAGGCCCUUUCGGGGGUACGACGAGCGGCGAACGGGUGAGUAACACGUGGGUGACCUGCCCUCAGCUCUGGGAUAAGCCUGGGAAACCGGGUCUAAUACUGGAUAUGACUCCAUGACGCAUGUUGUGGGGUGGAAAGCCUUGUGCGGCUGAGGAUGGGCCCGCGGCCUAUCAGCUUGUUGGUGGGGUGAUGGCCUACCAAGGCGACGACGGGUAGCCGGCCUGAGAGGGCGACCGGCCACACUGGGACUGAGACACGGCCCAGACUCCUACGGGAGGCAGCAGUGGGGAAUCUUGCGCAAAUGGGCGAAAGCCUGACGCAGCGACGCCGCGUGAGGGAUGACGGCCU